AUGGCUUGGAAGCAGAUGCUCGUCGUCGCCAUCGCCGUGGCCGCCCUCUGCGUCGCCUUCCUUCCGGGGCUCGCCGUCGCCAUGGAACACGUGGUCGGCGACGACAAGGGCUGGGCCCUCGAUUUCAACUACACGGCGUGGGCUGAGGGCAAUCAGUUUGUGGUCGGCGACACGCUAGUGUUCGAGUACGGGACCGCCAGCCACGACCUGGUGGAGGUGGGCGGGCCGGAUUUCCUCGCUUGCAACCAGCCGGACAACGCCGCCGUCUGGACCUCCGGUUUGGACCGGGUCCCGCUCGACAAGGCCGGACCACGGUGGUUCUUCUGCGGCACGGACCAGCACUGCGAGAGGGGGAUGAAGCUCAAGAUCACAGUCCUCGAGACCGCCCCGCCGGCUCCCCAACCCAAGCCCCCGUUGGUUGCUCCACCGCCGUCCAGCCCCGCUGGCAAGCUGGAGGCGGGCUUCGGGGAGGCGGCUGCCGUGGUCACCGCGCUCGCCGUGGCCAUGCUCGUGCUCUAG
rnacentral:rRNA from 1 species